rnacentral:rRNA from 1 species
GACGAACGCUGGCGGCGUGCUUAACACAUGCAAGUCGAACGGAAAGGCCCCUUCGGGGGUACUCGAGUGGCGAACGGGUGAGUAACACGUGAGUAACCUGCCCUUGACUUCGGGAUAACUUCAGGAAACUGGGGCUAAUACCGGAUAGGAAUCCUUGCUGCAUGGUGGGGGUUGGAAAGCUUCGGCGGUUUUGGAUGGACUCGCGGCUUAUCAGCUUGUUGGUGGGGUAGUGGCUUACCAGGGCUUUGACGGGUAGCCGGCCUGAGAGGGCGACCGGCCACAUUGGGACUGAGAUACGGCCCAGACUCCUACGGGAGGCAGCAGUGGGGAAUAUUGCACAAUGGGCGGAAGCCUGAUGCAGCAACGCCGCGUGCGGGAUGACGGCCUUCGGGUUGUAAACCGCUUUCAGCAGGGGCGAAGCUUGUGGUGACGGUACCUGCAGAAGAAGCACCGGCUAACUACGUG